AGGACGAACGCUGGCGGCGUGCUUAACACAUGCAAGUCGAGCGGUAAGGCCUUUCGGGGUACACGAGCGGCGAACGGGUGAGUAACACGUGGGUGAUCUGCCCUGCACUUCGGGAUAAGCCUGGGAAACUGGGUCUAAUACCGGAUAUGACCUCAGGUUGCAUGACUUGGGGUGGAAAGAUUUAUCGGUGCAGGAUGGGCCCGCGGCCUAUCAGCUUGUUGGUGGGGUAAUGGCCUACCAAGGCGACGACGGGUAGCCGACCUGAGAGGGUGACCGGCCACACUGGGACUGAGACACGGCCCAGACUCCUACGGGAGGCAGCAGUGGGGAAUAUUGCACAAUGGGCGAAAGCCUGAUGCAGCGACGCCGCGUGAGGAUGACGGCCUUCGGGUUGUAAACCUCUUUCAGCAGGACGAAGCGCAAGUGACGGUACCUGACAGAACGAAGACACCGGACUAACGUACGUCGCCGAGCACGCCGC
rnacentral:rRNA from 1 species